GAUGAACGCUGGCGGCGUGCCUAAUACAUGCAAGUCGAGCGAACAGACGAGGAGCUUGCUCCUCUGACGUUAGCGGCGGACGGGUGAGUAACACGUGGAUAACCUACCUAUAAGACUGGGAUAACUUCGGGAAACCGGAGCUAAUACCGGAUAAUAUAUUGAACCGCAUGGUUCAAUAGUGAAAGACGGGUUUGCUGUCACUUAUAGAUGUAUCCGCGCCGCAUUAGCUAGUUGGUAAGGUAACGGCUUACCAAGGCAACGAUGCGUAGCCGACCUGAGAGGGUGAUCCGCCACACUGGAGCUGAGACACGGUCCAGACUCCUACGGGAGGCAGCAGUAGGGAAUCUUCCGCAAAGGGCGAAAGCCGGACGGAGCAACGCCGCGUGAGUGAUGAAGGUCUUCGGAUCGUAAAACUCUGUUAUUAGGGAAGAACAAAUGUGUAAGUAACUAUGCACGUCUUGACGGUACCUAAUCAGAAAGCCACGGCUAACUACGUG
rnacentral:rRNA from 1 species